rnacentral:rRNA from 1 species
UACAGAGGGUGCGAGCGUUGUCCGGAAUCACUGGGCGUAAAGGGCUCGUAGGCGGCCAACUAAGUCCGACGUGAAAUCCCCAGGCUUAACCUGGGAACUGCGUCGGAUACUGGAUGGCUUGAAUCCGGGAGAGGGAUGCGGAAUUCCAGGUGUAGCGGUGAAAUGCGUAGAUAUCUGGAGGAACACCGGUGGCGAAGGCGGCAUCCUGGACCGGCAUUGGCGCUGAGGAGCGAAAGCCAGGGGAGCAAACGGG